GGAAUUCGAAGCAGCGGAACUCCUCCUCCCAUCGCCGCUUCGAUAGGAUUGGCAGCACUCCUCCUCCCGGUUGCCAAUCGCUCUUGUGACGCCCGCCGGACCUCCUCCCCCGGCGGGCGUUAUUC
rnacentral:sRNA from 1 species